rnacentral:rRNA from 1 species
UACGGGGGGUGCAACCGUUGCUCGGAAUUAUUGGGCGUAAAGCGCACGUAGGCGGCUUUCUAAGUCAGGGGUGAAAUCCUGGAGCUCAACUCCAGAACUGCCUUUGAUACUGGAGAGCUUGAGUUCGGGAGAGGGAUGCGGAAUUCCAGGUGUAGCGGUGAAAUGCGUAGAUAUCUGGAGGAACACCGGUGGCGAAGGCGGCAUCCUGGACCGAUACUGACGCUGAGGAGCGAAAGCCAGGGGAGCAAACGGG